CGGCAUCAGACCCCACUGUGGCCACAGGGAGAGCCACGGAGUUCAAACAACAGCUCCAGCACCUCGCCAACCAGGUGAGGUCAAAUGAUCAAUUUGACCUCCUCACGCACACCUUGGGGCCAGGAAUGGUAGAGGUGGUGGUGGAUAUUUUAAAAGUGUGUUGACACACACAUUGAAAAUAUUAACAAUUAGCAAUUUGUUGUUUGUUGUGUUCAUUAAUUAAAUAUCUUCAUGUUCUACA